rnacentral:rRNA from 1 species
ACCCCACUGCUAUCGGGGUGGGACUAAGACAUGCUAGUUGUGCGCCUCCAAGCCACGGUGGAGGCGCGGCGCACAGCUCAGUAACACGUGGCUAACCUGCCCUUGGGACGGGGAUAACCCCGGGAAACUGGGGCUAAUACCCGAUAGGCGAGGACUCCUGGAAUGGGUCUUCGCCGAAAGGGCACCUGGACCAUGCUCUAGGCGCCGCCCAAGGAUGGGGCCGCGGCCGAUCAGGUAGUUGGUGAGGUAACGGCUCACCAAGCCUAUAACCGGUACGGGCCGUGAGAGCGGGAGCCCGGAGAUGGACACUGAGACAAGGGUCCAGGCCCUACGGGGCGCAGCAGUCGCGAAACCUCCGCAAUACGCGAAAGCGUGACGGGGUCACCCCGAGUGCCGCCCGCUGAGGGUGGCUUUUCCCCAGUGUAGCAAGCUGGGGGAAUAAGGGGAGGGCAAGUCGGGUGUCAGCCGCCGCGGUAAUACCCGCUCCCCGAGUGGUGGGGACGCUUAUUGGGCCUAAAGCAUCCGUAGCCGGCUGGGUAAGUCCCCUGUUAAAUCCAGCGAUUUAAUCGCUGGACUGCGGGGGAUACUGCCCAGCUAGGGGGCGGGAGAGGCCGGCGGUAUUCCCGGGGUAGGGGUGAAAUCCUAUAAUCCCGGGAGGACCACCAGUGGCGAAGGCUGCCGGCUGGAACGCGCCCGACGGUGAGGGAUGAAAGCUGGGGGAGCGAACCGGAUUAGAUACCCGGGUAGUCCCAGCUGUAAACGAUGCGGGCUAGGUGUUGGCACGGCUAUGAGCCGUGCCAGUGCCGCAGGGAAGCCGUUAAGCCCGCCGCCUGGGGAGUACGGCCGCAAGGCUGAAACUUAAAGGAAUUGGCGGGGGAGCACCACAAGGGGUGAAGCUUGCGGUUU